AACGUAGGACGCAAGCGUUAUCCGGAGUUACUGGGCGUAAAGCGCGGGCAGGCGGCUCGAUGCGUCUGAUGUGAAAUCUCCUCGCUCAACGGGGAGAGGCCAUUGGAAACGGUCGGGCUGGAGGGCAGUAGAGGCAGGCGGAAUUCCGGGUGGAGUGGUGAAAUGCGUAGAGAUCCGGAGGAACACCAGAGGCGAAGGCGGCCUGCUGGGCUGCACCUGACGCUGAGCCGCGAAAGCCAGGGGAGCGAACGGG
rnacentral:rRNA from 1 species